ensembl:misc_RNA Metazoa_SRP Metazoan signal recognition particle RNA
GCUGGGCAUGGUAGCAUGCCUGCAGUAGGCUGAGGCUGGUGGAUUGCUUGAGUUUGGGAGUUCUGAGCCGCUGCAGGACUUAAAGCCUACUGGAUGUUCACACUAAGUCAGGCACCAACAUGGAGAGCUCCUGGGAGCAGAAGGCCACCAGGUGGUUUAAGGAGGGGAAAACUGGCCCAGGUCACAAAAUUAGGGCAAGUUAAAGAUUCUGUGUUCAUCAGUGUUGGAAUUGGGCCCAUGAGUGACUAUUGCACUUCCAGCCUGGGCAAGAUAGGGAGAUCCGGUCUCAA